UACAGAGGGUGCAAGCGUUGUUCGGAAUUAUUGGGCGUAAAGGGCGCGUAGGCGGUGCGGUAAGUCUGUAGUGAAAUCUCUGGGCUCAACUCAGAGUCUGCUGCAGAAACUGCCGUGGCUUGAGUGUGGGAGAGGUGAGUGGAAUUCCCGGUGUAGCGGUGAAAUGCGUAGAUAUCGGGAAGGAACACCUGUCGGCGAAAGCGGCUCACUGGACCACAACUGACGCUGAGGCGCGGAAAGUGUGGGGAGCGAACAGG
rnacentral:rRNA from 1 species